ensembl:lncRNA
GGGUUAUUUCCCCCUGGGUUUAGCAGCUGUCAGUCCAUCCCUUGCCAAGAGGAUGAGCUGAAACAUCUGGAGGAUCCAUGGACCCCCUCCACUGACUCUGUUAUAAUGUGCUAUGAGAUAAGCAGCCAUAUGGAGAAGCACACCCUCAGAAUAACCUCCGCCCACCAGUUUCUCAGAGCUACAGAAGGGUGCGUGGUCACAGGGCAUCACGGUGGGACCUCCGGGCGGACGGACGGCACCAGGGAGUGGCGGAGAUUAAUGUGCCCAGGAACGAGACGGUGGUCAAGGUCAUCAACGUGAUUGCAUUUCAGCGGCUUCAGCACUCUGGUCCAGUGGCUCCAGCCCGGUUUGAUUCCCCACAUUAACUAACAUUGGUUUUGGGUGGAGGUUAGCUGCUGUGGUGUAGCGCGGCCCAUGUGUCUCUCGACAGCCAGGAUCCUAGAGGGCUCAGGUGCCACUCCUCCUAUUCAUUAAUCCCCAAUAUCCUCCCCUCUAAUUGGAUAAUUACCUCAAGGUCAAUGCACCAUUCAUAACUCCACGACAUUGACAGUUUCACUCUAGUGGACCUGGAAGAUUCCAGAAUACCCCAAAUUCAGAGACUAUUUUGCACAACUUAAUAAUAAAUAAAUAAUAAUACAUUUAAUUUAGAGGCGCCUUUCAAGACACCCAAGGUCACGUAAAACAUGACACUUGAACUUGUG